CCUCUUGAUGAUGAGUCUAUGGUGUCCUACAUCUUAGCUGGACUCGACAUUGACUACAAUCUGCUGGUAUCCACUAUUGUUGGUCGUUCUGAUCCAAUCUCUUUGAGUGAUCUGUAUUCCUAGAUGGUGAGGUACGACA
rnacentral:snoRNA from 1 species